CUUGCACAGGUGGCUGCAUGGCUGUCGUCAGCUCGUGUCGUGAGAUGUUCGGUUAAGUCCGCUAACGAGCGCAACCCUCGCUGUGUGUUAUAUGUGUCACACGGGACUGCCGGUCUUAAGCCGGAGGAAGGUGGGGAUGAUGUCAAGUCAGCAUGGCCUUUAUAUCCUGGGCUACACACACGCUACAAUGGCCAACACAAUAGGUUGCUAAGCCGCGAGGUGGCGCCAAUCCAUAAAGUUGGUCUCAGUUCAGAUUGUAGGCUGCAACCCGCCUGCAUGAAGAUGGAGUUGCUAGUAACCGCAGGUCAGCUAUACUGCGGUGAAUACGUUCCCGGGGCUU
rnacentral:rRNA from 1 species